ACUAGUCUUGUACGGCUGAAAAGACUUAUGAUAAGGAUGUCUUUAGCAGAUCCCUAGGUUGAACGGUAGAA
rnacentral:tRNA from 1 species